GUCACAUGACUCGCUGUUACUGUUUCUGGUCAUAAGACCUCGCGUCACCAAAGCCGGCUCCCAAAUCUUUAUUUUAUCCAUUAAGACAGCCCAAGCAUGCAGUUAUAAUUCUCUUAUUCAUUUGGUACGAUAGAUAUAAUGGAUUUGUUUUGGUUCAGAUGGCGGCAUGACGUAUAUAAGGGUUUGUCCGCCUAUACUUUUAUCAGAUAUUCGGUGUUCUUGAUUGUUUCUUUAAGGUGUGCUGAAUCUGACCUGUGCUUUGUCUCCAUCACUGGCUGCUGAAGGGACACAUUUACAUAUUCGUCAUAAGAUUUCUUGCAUGGAUAUGACGGUCUGAAGGUGUGAGUGCCACGCCAGAUGUGUCAGAGCUGGUGACCUUGCUGCAGGAAAGAGGCUGUUCUUCAGGCUGCUGGUGUGAGAGUGGAGGCUUCGGCACCUCUUUCCAUACUGGAGCAAGGUACACAGUCUGUGGUUCCGGUGGGAGGAGUCUCCAGUGAUGUUGCAUGCACUUUUCAGGCAUAUUUUACGCUGGAGGUUCUCCAUGGAGGGGAGCUGGGUCCUGAUGAUGUACUGGGCAGUUUUUCUUAUCUGAUCUGAGAUCUAAAUGGGUUCCGUUGAAAAGUAAUUUUCCUCCAACUCAUGUACAUUAUUUCUUAUGGUGAAUUUUCUUUAAUGCAUCUUCCAAAAUGUCUAAUAUCUUUUGGCAAAUGACCUAAAACAGGCAAGGUAAUGUUUGAUAGGCUUUUGCUUUUUAGCAGUUUAUUUUAGGAAAAAUAAGGAUAAUGGAUGUAAUCUUAAAGCUGAACACACCUAGAAUUCUAUUCAGGGUUUUUCUGUGAGUUUGAUACAAAUGUAAAGAAUGGUACAGUCAGAGUUUGAUAUGGGGGGGAGGCAAGUUAAUUCAAAUAAAAAUGUCUACUUUUUUUCUAUCUAUCUACGCAUAUCUGCGUUUUCACGCAUCUCUUUUUAAAUUUGUGGCGUUAUUGAUCACUUUAAUAUUUGCAUAAUAAAACAUGUUUUAUGUAA